UGGGCAGGCUGUGGAGCCAUUUUUGUCUCC
rnacentral:piRNA from 1 species